rnacentral:rRNA from 1 species
UUGGAGGGCAAGUCUGGUGCCAGCAGCCGCGGUAAUUCCAGCUCCAAUAGCGUAUAUUAAAGUUGUUGCAGUUAAAAAGCUCGUAGUUGAAUUUCGGGGUCAGUAGGUUGGUCAUGCCACUGGUAUGUACUGGUCUCACUGAUUCCUCCUUCCUGAUGAGCCGUAAUGCCAUUAAUUUGGUGUUGCGAGGAAUCUGGACUGUUACUUUGAAAAAAUUAGAGUGUUCAAAGCAAGCUAACGCUUGAAUACAUUAGCAUGGAAUAAUGAAAUAGGACGUUCGAUCCUAUUUUGUUGGUUUCUAGGAUUGACGUAAUGAUUAAUAGGGAUAGUUGGGGGCAUUAGUAUUCAAUUGUCAGAGGUGAAAUUCUUGGAUUUAUUGAAGACUAACUACUGCGAAAGCAUUUGCCAAGGAUGUUUUCAUUAAUCAAGAACGAAAGUUAGGGGAUCGAAGACGAUCAGAUACCGUCGUAGUCUUAACCAUAAACUAUGCCGACUAGGGAUCGGAUGAUGUUAAUUUUUUAAUGACUCAUUCGGCGCCUUACGGGAAAC